CAAUUGUCUCUUGUUAGCCGAAGCUGAAGGCAGACGUGAUCUGAUGCUGACGUAAAAAAACUUAAUGGCUAAUCUUGAUCUGAUUGUAAUGUGUAGACAUUGUGGAAGUUAUUAAGAAAUUCGGUGGAUGGAAGUAGCAAAGUGAAUUAAAUUGCAUACAGUAUCAAGAUGAUUUUAAUUGGUAUAAAUUAGUGAUUCCUGGACUAUUGCAAGAUUUCGGAGCAGAUUUUUCACGCUGAAAUGAAGGAGAUUUUUGAAGACCGGGACGCCGCCCGAAAGAAGAUAACCUGAUGUAUUAAGAAAAUCCAUAUUUUGACGAAUACGAUUUACGCGGAAGUGUUUGACCAGCCGCUGGAGGACAGAAAAUUUAAUGGAAACUCAGAAGAAACUCUUAUUAAAAAAACAUAAAGGAAGCCACUUUGAUGACAAUGACUUAAUAAUAAACACUGAAAAAACUGUAGCUAUGGAUAUACACACAGCACAAACAAAAAAUCUGAUAUCACCCAAUCUAGAGCUAUAUGAACAGACAAUUGCCAAAACAGCCUGUACCAAAUUUCUUGGACUUCAUCUACAAAACAACUUGAUAUGGCUUUCACGGCCGGCAUCUUCAUCAUAAACAGUUCCGGGCUAAAUUGCCGUGGUCGAUCUGUAGAACUUCUUCUCCCUGGCGUUUUGUUCUCAACUACGGAGAACAUCUUCCGAGCAAAAUGAAGAAUAAGAAACGGAUGGAUGGGCUUCAAGUUCUCCGGAAAAAAAAAAAAAUUAAUUGCCUGGAAGUAAUCUACACAAUUAAGAAAAACUUAAUUAGUGAUUUGAAGAAAAAUUGAAAUGUUUGAUGAACUGCUGCAACUAGCUGUUUAAAUAA